UUAACGACUCUCGGCAACGGAUAUCUCGCGUCUCGCAUCGAUGAAGAACGUAGCGAAAUGCGAUACUUGGUGUGAAUUGCAGAAUCCCGUGAACCAUCGAGUCUUUGAACGCAAGUUGCGCCCAAAGCCAUUAGGCCGAGGGCACGUCUGCCUGGGCGUCACGUA
rnacentral:rRNA from 1 species